rnacentral:lncRNA from 1 species
GGAGCCCACCAGGGCGACCAGUACCAACGAACGCACAACCGAACAAGCACACCUAGGCGGCGGCAAUGGGAGGAGAGGCCGGGGGUUUCCGGGCGCGGAUGGAGCACUACCUAUACAGCGGAGAGAAGAAGCGCGUCCUCGCGGGCAUCGCCAUCUUCGCCGCGGUCUUCGGCGUCCCCUGGUACUACAUGGCCCGAGGUAUCAACUCAAACCCCCUUCGCCUAAUCGCAAAACACUAACCGCUAGCCCAUGCCCCCCUGAUUAUUACAUUAAAUUGUUUCGAAUUUGAAACAUCGAUUGGCUUCGCUUCGGUUAGUGACUCUUUGUGCACUUCUGUGAUGCACGGCUGAUUCUGGAUUUUGGUAAUUUUGGGCAUAGCUCGGUUUGUGUUGUUCUUCACCAAUUUCUGAUUACUGGAAUGGAUCUCCGCUCUGCAGGGUAAUAAGAUCUAAGAUUUUUUAAUUCCCUGAGGUGGUAAUGCUAUUAAGCAUUUAGGAGUGGAAGAUUGAAAGGGGUUAUAUUGAGGGGUGGGGUUUCAGCAUUGGGAAUCCUUUUGAGUUUGUUCAGUUGAUUAUAUUACAUUUCCUUGUUACCUGAAAAUUGAUUUCUGUUUUGACAGGUCAGAGUAAUUUGAUAUUUGAGGGUUAAGGGUUUUGUUUGUUUGCUCGGUGUGUGACCAAUGCUAUAUUCAGAACAUGGUGAAGUAAUGCCUUAGUAAACCACAUGCGUGCAUGUUUCCUAAUUAUGCUAAACCUUGUACUCUCGGAGUUGGUAAGCAAAGUUGUAAUCUUAGUUAACUAUUAUACAUAUGUCUCAGCAGGAAGCAGCAGAGCUUGCAGGAAUAGUAAAUUUCUACCUGUAUUUGGUUGUUAUGUAUAUUGUGCCUCAUGUUAUGGAGUGCGUAAUGGGUUUAUUUAGCUUGUGGGACAUGUUUCCAUAACAGCAUAGUGUCUGAACUAUGUUCUAAAAAGAAUAUGGCCCAGGGCAUGCUCUCCCACCAUGAUAAAUAGAAAUAUGGUCUAGGGCUUUUUGAUGUUUUAAUAUCAAUCAGGUUAUGAAUCGUAUCAAAAUUUUCAUAUUAAAG